rnacentral:rRNA from 1 species
UGCCAGCCGCCGCGGUAAUACGGAGGGUGCAAGCGUUGUUCGGAAUUAUUGGGCGUAAAGCGCGUGUAGGUGGUUAUGCAAGUUGGAUGUGAAAUCCCUGGGCUCAACCGAGGAAGUGCAUCCAAAACUACAUAGCUAGAGGACGGUAGAGGAAGGUGGAAUUCCUAGUGUAGAGGUGAAAUUCGUAGAUAUUAGGAGGAAUACCUGUGGCGAAGGCGGCCUUCUGGGCCGUUCCUGACACUGAGACGCGAAAGCGUGGGGAGCAAACAGGAUUAGAUA